rnacentral:lncRNA from 1 species
GUUAUUCACACACAUUGGGCUCUACCCGGUCUGCAGGGAAAGUGAGUUCCGAGUGCUUUCCUGCUAGAUCCCACCUAUGGGAGCUCUGCUUGCUCAGCAGGGUCAGACCCAUCAGCUCCUUUAAUAAACAGGGGCUGUGGAACCCUGCCAGCUGCAGAGGAAACCAGAGGGGAGUAGAAGCAACUCAAAUGUCCUUUCAGUUUUCUGAGAAGUAAGCAAAUCCAUGGCACUACAAGCAAAUCCAUAUAGACCAAAAGUUGACCUCACAGCUUCCGAGAACAAUUCCUGACCCAGCCAAGAUGAACAUUGGGAAUUUACUUCUUAAGAUGCAGUUCAAGUGUCCAAAUCAGGAACAUCUUUGUCUUGGACCCAUGCAACCCUAGUCUUGCUACCUUCCACUGGCAGGGAUAUUUUUCAGAGACGGC